rnacentral:rRNA from 1 species
UACGUAGGGAGCAAGCGUUGUCCGGAAUCAUUGGGCGUAAAGCGCGCGUAGGCGGCCCUGUAAGUCCGUUGUGAAAGUCAAAGGCUCAACCUUUGAAAGCCGAUGGAUACUGCAGGGCUAGAGUCCGGAAGAGGCGAGUGGAAUUCCUGGUGUAGCGGUGAAAUGCGUAGAGAUCCGGAGGAACACCAGGGGCGAAGGCGGCUCACUGGCCCGUUACUGACGCUGAGGCACGAAAGCGUGGGGAGCAAACAGG